UGGACGUGCAAGGUACCUGUCCCAGC
rnacentral:piRNA from 1 species